CGGGGGAGGCCGGAUCCUGGGCUGUGUCCAGGCGCCCUGUGCUCCGGGGCCUGCGCUGUUGGAUUCGCGCUCCCGCCCCGCAGCCCCCU
rnacentral:pre_miRNA from 1 species